AUGCGGGCCGGAGAGGAACGGUUAUCUUCACGUCAGGGAGGUCGCGGGUUCGAAUCCCGCCGGGCCGCGAGGCCCGUAGCUCAGCCCGGAUAGAGCGCCCGGACACCGUUCCUCACCCCACGCCCGCAUCGC
rnacentral:Y_RNA from 1 species